UUUCUGUCAUGUUAUUUAUAUUAUAAUCUAUUUAAUUAAAGUGAAAGUAAAUGUUUCGGCUGGAUAUAAUUUUUCAAUGGAAUAUUAAUGAACAGUACAGUAGAUACAGAAAUGAAACUGGGCCAUGUCUGGCGUGUUGUACACAUACAAACGAUGCCGGCUCAGAUGCAGCAGUGUCGGCAAGUUAAAACAGCUGCAGCAUCUGGCCAGAUUGAUUUGGGCUGGAAUCAGGCAGUGAGGCAUCCAGGCUGGGUGCGGCAGAUGGAGCCUGGCUGAGAAAAAGUCUCCAGCAGUUGAGAAUUUAACUGAAACUGGCCUGAGUGCAUUUGCUAUCUGGGUCGCUGGUGUAGGUAUUGUGGACGAGUAAAUAUCAGCAAACUUCAAAUUUAGCACGUUUUUCUAAACUUUAGUGUCAGCAGUUUGCUUGAUCUAAUGGAUCUAAUCCUAAAGUAUCAGUUUUCUUUAAAUUAUUUGUUGUUUUUCAUUGGUGGUGAGGUGUGCUAUUUUGGUGUGUUUCUGAUCACCAAGAAAGGCUACGCAAAGGUACUAAAGAUGGCGGCCACAACAAAAAAAUCAGGUGUCUGAAACCCAUGAAUAUUAAGCAUGCUAAUACUGUUUAUUACACCAAAUCCAUGCAAAAAUAGCGUAAAGUUUAUGUUUAGUGGAUUAUGAUGUGUAACACGUUGUGCCACUAGAUGGCAGUGUUCUCAGAGAUUCACUAGGAACUGCAGCAAUGAACAACAGAAUUGAACUUACAGAACUGACCUUGGGUAUCCUGGCUCAGAGAGGAGGGAUUCAGUGUUGACUGACUCUUCUCAGAGUGAACAUUUCUACAAUGGAUCUUUGUUCAGUUUUUCUGUUCUGUGCAUCAGCAGCUGCUGUCUUUGGAAAUAUCAUCAAAGCAAACAAAACUGAUGUUGUUUAUGAAGAGGGUUCAAAUAUUACAUUGUCCUGUAGUCAGUCACCUGUAGCUUCAGAUAAUAUCUACUGGUACCGUCAGUAUGAAAGAUCAAAACCUGAAUUUCUUGUACUCGCCUACGGUAAUGCAAAAGAAGCUGCAGUGUCUGAUGUAGAUCCAAGAUUCUCUGCUAAAGUUGAAAAAAGGGAAAAAAUCCAUGUGGAUCUGAAGAUCUCCUCUGCUGCUGUAUCAGACUCUGCUCUGUACUACUGUGCUCUGAGGCCCACAGUGACAGGAAACACAUCAGCUCUCUACAAAAACCUGCUACAAUGAGAGACAAGAGAGAAACAAAUACAAAAGACAAAGAGGAAGAAGUAACUGCCAAUUAAAAAAUAAUAAUAAUAACAAGAACAGUGAAUAAAUCACAGGCAGUUACCUAAAUCAAAAGGUAGACAACUCAUUUAAUAAGUGUUUUGGUAAAACAUUCAUAAACAUUUUAAAGUAAGUGAAUAUUUGGCAAAAUAAAGAUGACAUAUAUUAAAUCCCU
rnacentral:lncRNA from 1 species